rnacentral:rRNA from 1 species
GAUGAACGCUGGCGGCGUGCCUAAUACAUGCAAGUCGAGCGAACAGACGAGGAGCUUGCUCCUCUGACGUUAGCGGCGGACGGGUGAGUAACACGUGGAUAACCUACCUAUAAGACUGGUAUAACUUCGGGAAACCGGAUCUAAUACCGGAUAAUAUAUUGAACCGCAUGGUUCAAUAGUGAAAGACGGUUUUGCUGUCACUUAUAGAUGGAUCCGCGCCGAAUUAGCUAGUUGGUAGGGUAACGGCUUACCACGGCUACGAUGCGUAGCCGACCUGAGAGGGUGAUCGGCCACACUGGAACUGAGACACGGUCCAGACUCCUACGGGAGGCAGCAGUGGGGAAUCUUCCGCAAUGGGCGAAAGCCUGACGCAGCAACGCCGCGUGAGUGAUGAAGGUCUUCGGAUCGUAAAGCUCUGUUAUUAGGGAAGAACAAAUGUGUAAGUAAAUAUGCACGUCUUGACGGUACCUAAUCAGAAAGCCACGGCUAACUACGUG